AGCGAACGUUAGCGGCGCGCCUAACACAUGCAAGUCGCACGAGAAAGGGCUUCGGCCCCGGUAAAGUGGCGCACGGGUGCGUAACACGUAGGCAAUCCACCCUCGAGCGGGGGAUAACGUCCCGAAAGGGACGCUAAUACCGCAUAAGACCACGGACUCUUCGGAGACUGCGGUCAAAGCUGGCCUCCUCAUGAAAGCUAGCACUCAAGGACGAGCCUGCGGCCCAUCAGCUAGUUGGCAGUGUAAUAGACUACCAAGGCUAAGACGGGUAGCUGGUCUGAGAGGAUGAUCAGCCACACUGGAACUGAAACACGGUCCAGACUCCUACGGGAGGCAGCAGUGGGGAAUAUUGGACAAUGGGCGAAAGCCUGAUCCAGCGACGCCGCGUGAGUGAUGAAGGCCUUCGGGUUGUAAAGCUCUGUUGAGGGAGAAGAAAACGAUUGGCGUGAAUAACUCCAGUCCUUGACGGUAUCCCUUUAGAAAGCACCGGCUAACUCUGUGCCAGCAGCCGCGGUAAAA
rnacentral:rRNA from 1 species